GUUGGAAAUGAGUGCUGGACCCACUUGUCACAACAAACCCCUGCAAGAUGGUGCGAUGGAAAGCUGUAAUUUAGAAUCAAAUGAAUUAUCUAUGUCUUCAGUGGUUUUCUGGUGACACAGAGGAUGUUAGACAUGUUCAAACGUCCCACUGAUUCCCCAGAGUACAGCUACCUCUAUUUGCUUCCUGGUGGUGUCUUUGUCGGAGGCUACGCUGCUGCUUUGCAGUCUGGAUACUAAACAGGUGAAAGAGGACAUUUAAGUUGUGUCCAUUAGUUAAAGUGUUUUCAUUUUUUCUCACUGAAGCUAUUUUCUUUUAUCCGUGUGCAUCUGUGUAACACUUUAGGUAUGAUGGGAGUCGCAGGUGGGAUUGCCACCAGAUUCAAAAAGCUUGAGAUCAGGCUCCACAGAGUUCAGAUAGUUCAUUGUUCUCUAGCAAAAUGUUUUGGAAACUAAUGUUUAACCUCUAAAACUCUGACAUGUUUUAGCACACAAGGCUUCAUCGGGGAGUUCACUCAUGAUUGGACCAUGAGAAUAAAGGUUUUUAGUUCUUUCAAA